rnacentral:rRNA from 1 species
ACGGGGAGCAGCAGGCGCGAAACCUUUACACUGCACGGAAGUGCGAUAAGGGGACUCCGAGUGCGAGGGCAUACAGUCCUCGCCUUUCACGACCGUAGGGAGGUCGUGGAAUAAGAGCUGGGCAAGACCGGUGCCAGCCGCCGCGGUAAUACCGGCAGCUCGAGUGAUGGCCGCUGUUAUUGGGCCUAAAGCGUCCGUAGCCGGCCGUGCAAGUCCGUCGGGAAAUCCAUCGGCCCAACCGAUGGGCGUCCGGCGGAAACUGUACGGCUUGGGGCCGGAAGACCCGAGGGGUACGUCCGGGGUAGGAGUGAAAUCCUGUAAUCCUGGGCGGACCGCCGGUAGCGAAAGCGCCUCGGGAGGACGGACCCGACGGUGAGGGACGAAAGCUAGGGUCUCGAACCGGAUUAGAUACCCGGGUAGUCCUAGCCGUAAACGAUGCCCGCUAGGUGUGGCACCGACUACGAGUCGGUGCUGUGCCGUAGUGAAGACGUGAAGCGGGCCGCCUGGGAAGUACGUCCGCAAGGAUGAAACUUAAAGGAAUUGGCGGGGGAGCAC